rnacentral:lncRNA from 1 species
AUUAGGCACUUGUAACAUGAAUUUAAGGUAUCCUAACAUGCAAUUAGGUGUUUAUAACCAUGAUUAAUUGUAUUGUGAUGAUAGUUGUUGAUUAUAUGUGUAGAAUAUAAUUGUUGUUGAUUGUGUUGAUGAUGUUUGUUAAAAUGUCAAAGAAGUAUAUUAAGGUGUUAAUUAACUUAAUAAAGAAGUAUAUCGAAUUAUGUUAUUCGAUAAAGAAGGAUAUUAAGGUAUAGUGUUAUCUUAAUCAAGAAGUAAUGUUGGAUAGUGUUCCACAUUAGUAAAUGAAGAGCUUAAUGCUAUUGAUUGUGAGUGAAUUCAUGAAAUACAUACAUGCAUUCAUGAAUAUAUGUGAUAUUGGAUAUUCCAAUAAAGAAGGAUAUCGGGUUAUAUUUAUCCGAUAAAGAAGGAUAUUAGAGGUGAGAUACUCUAAUAAAG